GACGAACGCUGGCGGCGUGCUUAACACAUGCAAGUCGAACGGAAAGGCCCUGCUUUUGUGGGGUGCCCGAGUGGCGAACGGGUGAGUAACACGUGAGUAACCUGCCCUUGACUUUGGGAUAACUUCAGGAAACUGGGGCUAAUACCGGAUAGGAGCUCCUGCUGCAUGGUGGGGGUUGGAAAGUUUCGGCGGUUGGGGAUGGACUCGCGGCUUAUCAGCUUGUUGGUGGGGUAGUGGCUUACCAAGGCUUUGACGGGUAGCCGGCCUGAGAGGGUGACCGGCCACAUUGGGACUGAGAUACGGCCCAGACUCCUACGGGAGGCAGCAGUGGGGAAUAUUGCACAAUGGGCGGAAGCCUGAUGCAGCAACGCCGCGUGCGGGAUGACGGCCUUCGGGUUGUAAACCGCUUUCGCCUGUGACGAAGCGUGAGUGACGGUAAUGGGUAAAGAAGCAUCGGCUAACUACGUG
rnacentral:rRNA from 1 species